rnacentral:rRNA from 1 species
GACGAACGCUGGCGGCGUGCUUAACACAUGCAAGUCGAACGGAAAGGCCCUGCUUUUGUGGGGUGCUCGAGUGGCGAAAGGGUGAGUAACACGUGAGUAACCUGCCCUUGACUUUGGGAUAACUUCAGGAAACUGGGGCUAAUACCGGAUAGGAGCUCCUGCUGCAUGGUGGGGGUUGGAAAGUUUCGGCGGUUGGGGAUGGACUCGCGGCUUAUCAGCUUGGUGGUGGGGUAGUGGCUUACCAAGGCUGUGACGGGUAGCCGGCCUGAGAGGGUGACCGGCCACAUUGGGACUGAGAUACGGCCCAGAAGCCUACGGGAGGCAGCAGUGGGGAAUAGUGCACAAUGGGCGGAAGCCUGAGGCAGCAACGCCGCGUGCGGGAUGACGGCCUUCGGGUUGUAGACCGCUUUCGCCUGUGACGAAGCGUGAGUGACGGUAAUGGGUGAAGAAGCACCGGCUAACUACGUG